GACGGGUGAGUAACGCUUUGCCACGUACCCUUUGGAACGGAAUAUUCUCGGGAAACUGAGAGCAAUACCGGAUAAGCCCUACGGGGGAAAGAUUUAUCGCCAAAGGAGCGGCCCGCGUCAGAUUAGGUAGUUGGUGGGGUAAAGGCCUACCAAGCCUACGAUCUGUAGCUGGUCUGAGAGGAUGAUCAGCCACACUGGGACUGAGACACGGCCCAGACUCCUACGGGAGGCAGCAGUGGG
rnacentral:rRNA from 1 species